CAGUCAGAGGCGAUGAAGGACGUGCUAAUCUGCGAUAAGCGUCGGUAAGGUGAUAUGAACCGUUAUAACCGGCGAUUUCCGAAUGGGGAAACCCAGUGUGUUUCGACACACUAUCAUUAACUGAAUCCAUAGGUUAAUGAGGCGAACCGGGGGAACUGAAACAUCUAAGUACCCCGAGGAAAAGAAAUCAACCGAGAUUCCCCCAG
rnacentral:rRNA from 1 species